rnacentral:rRNA from 1 species
GAUGGCGGCCAUAGUCUGAGGGGUCUACCUGAACUCGGCCGAACUCAGAAGUCAAGCCCUCAGACGUUUGUCGAAGUGUGCGCUGCGCGAGCGCGUGACAAGCGACAAAGCUGCCACUU